rnacentral:rRNA from 1 species
CCUUGUACACACCGCCCGUCACACCAUGGGAGUUGGCUUUACCCGAAGCCGGUGCGCUAACCGCAAGGAGGCAGCCGUCCACGGUAAGGUCAGCGACUGGGGUG